rnacentral:pre_miRNA from 14 species
UAUCAAGACCCCAAGAAGUAACAGAUCUUGAUAUGAAAGAUCCCACGCAGAGAGACCCUUACUCAAGUCUUGGGAAAUUGCGGACCCCAGACACAGAGAGACCA